rnacentral:tRNA from 1 species
GCCUUAUGGAUUCAUUUGGUAGAAUAUGUGACUCUUGAUCUCAGGGUUGUGAGUUCAAGCCCCACAUUGGACA